rnacentral:lncRNA from 1 species
GAAGACCAAAGUCGGCUCUACGACACCGUGCUUCUGCAUAUGACAGUCCAAAGAAGAAAUGGACCAAUGUUUCAAUGCAUACGGAACAAAAAAA